rnacentral:snoRNA from 1 species
AAACCAUCCAUUGGACAUUUUCUAAUUAACUCAUUGAAUCGUCCCCAUACUUCAUAUAAUGUUUCAUCCUCAGAUUUUCGAAAGGACGUGAUAUCAUUCCUCAAUUU